AGGGAAUCUUGCGCAAUGGACGAAAGUCUGACGCAGCGAUGCCGCGUGGAGGAUGACGGCCCUCGGGUUGUAAACUCCUUUCAGGAGGGACGAAAUUGACGGUACCUCCAGAAGAAGCCCCGGCUAACUACGUGCCAGCAGCCGCGGUAAUACGUAGGGGGCAAGCGUUGUCCGGAUUUAUUGGGCGUAAAGAGCUCGUAGGCGGCUUGGUAAGUCGAUCGUGAAAACCAGAGGCUCAACCUCUGGACGUCGGUCGAUACUGCCAUGGCUAGAGUCCGGUAGAGGAGAGUGGAAUUCCCGGUGUAGCGGUGGAAUGCGCAGAUAUCGGGAGGAACACCAGUAGCGAAGGCGGCUCUCUGGGCCGGAACUGACGCUGAGGAGCGAAAGCGUGGGUAGCAAAC
rnacentral:rRNA from 1 species